rnacentral:rRNA from 1 species
AUUGAACGCUGGCGGAAUGCUUUACACAUGCAAGUCGAACGGCAGCAUAGGUGCUUGCACCUGAUGGCGAGUGGCGAACGGGUGAGUAAUAUAUCGGAACGUGCCCAGUCGUGGGGGAUAACGUAGCGAAAGCUACGCUAAUACCGCAUACGAUCUAUGGAUGAAAGCGGGGGACCUUCGGGCCUCGCGCGAUUGGAGCGGCCGAUAUCAGAUUAGGUAGUUGGUGAGGUAAAGGCUCACCAAGCCGACGAUCUGUAGCUGGUCUGAGAGGACGACCAGCCACACUGGGACUGAGACACGGCCCAGACUCCUACGGGAGGCAGCAGUGGGGAAUUUUGGACAAUGGACGCAAGUCUGAUCCAGCCAUUCCGCGUGCAGGACGAAGGCCUUCGGGUUGUAAACUGCUUUUGUACGGAACGAAAAGACUCUUUCUAAUAAAGAGGGUCCAUGACGGUACCGUAAGAAUAAGCACCGGCUAACUACGUGCCAGCCGCCGCUGUAA